UUCAGGUCUGGGUUCUGGCUCAGUCAUUCAGAAACAUUGAUCUUCUUUUGCUGAAGCCGUUCCUUUGUUGAUGUGGACGUGUGCUUUG